rnacentral:rRNA from 1 species
UGAGUGAGGCAAUGACUAGAGUGGCGAACUGGUGAGUAACACGUAAGAAACCUGCCCUUUAGUGGGGGAUAACAUUUGGAAACAGAUGCUAAUACCGCGUAACAACAAAUCACACAUGUGAUCUGUUUGAAAGGUCCUUUUGGAUCGCUAGAGGAUGGUCUUGCGGCGUAUUAGCUUGUUGGUAGGGUAGAAGCCUACCAAGGCAAUGAUGCGUAGCCGAGUUGAGAGACUGGCCGGCCACAUUGGGACUGAGACACUGCCCAAACUCCUACGGGAGGCUGCAGUAGGGAAUUUUCCGCAAUGCACGAAAGUGUGACGGAGCGACGCCGCGUGUGUGAUGAAGGCUUUCGGGUCGUAAAGCACUGUUGUAAGGGAAGAAUAACUGAAUUCAGAGAAAGUUUUCAGCUUGACGGUACCUUACCAGAAAGGGAUGGCUAAAUACGUGCCAGCAGCCGCGGUAAUACGUAUGUCCCGAGCGUUAUCCGGAUUUAUUGGGCGUAAAGCGAGCGCAGACGGUUUAUUAAGUCUGAUGUGAAAUCCCGAGGCCCAACCUCGGAACUGCAUUGGAAACUGAUUUACUUGAGUGCGAUAGAGGCAAGUGGAACUCCAUGUGUAGCG